rnacentral:rRNA from 1 species
GAUUAACGCUAGCGGCAGGCCUAAUACAUGCAAGUUGUGCGGGAUUAUUGGUAGCAAUACUGAUAUGAGAGUAGCGCACGGGUGCGUAACACGUAUGCAACCUACCUUUAACUGGGGAAUAGCCUUCCGAAAGGAAGAUUAAUACCGCAUAACAUUGCGAAACGACAUCGUUUUGCAAUUAAACCUACGGGGGUUAGAGAUGGGCAUGCGUCCGAUUAGCUAGNGGCGGGGUAAUAGCCCACCAAGGCAACGAUCGGUAGGGGGUCUGAGAGGAUGA